UUUAGCAUCACCGCUAGCAAACAAGGUAGAUCGGUAAGCAACUUUUGCUAAUCAUAUCACAUAUGACUCCUAUUGUUGGGUGACAUCUCCAUGUCUCGGCGCCCAACCUUUAUGCCCCAAGGUCCUUAACCGUUAAGUUAACCUUGUUAAGCAAACCAACCCUUAUGCGUGUAAGUGUCCGACACAAAUCCAUGUAAUCAAGGAAAACUAGUGGCACCCUAAUUUUAUAGACCCACCACUAAUUGUACAAGACAUGGGACGAUGCAAGUUUUAGUUGGGAGGGCAUACUAACUUAAACUUUGUGAGGGAUCGUUCUGCUUCUAACAUCACAGCAUGCAGAAAGUAAAACAUAAACAGAAUAGCAUUCACACAGUUGUGACACAGUAUGACCCGUUUUCAUAUGGUGAUCUCCAUCUCCAUAGAACCUGUUCACCAUGGUGAUCUCCAUCUCCAUGUUCCAUGUGCGCCAUCCUCCUGGUGAUGAGUCCUCCAAGAACUACAACAUGCUAUUACGCC
rnacentral:lncRNA from 1 species